CUGGAGCUGCUGCUGCUUCUGCAACUGUUGAAAUGACAGCAGACACCUCAGCUCUCUACCUUGCUUCAGAGGAGUUCGCUGAACACUGUGCUCAUUCAUCUGGUUGCGGGAGGGUAAUUCUCAUUUGCAUACAGAGAGUGUAUCAUACCAGCUACCACUCUUUCACUGAGGCCAAACACACACACAUGACAUGGCAGGGGGAGUACAAGCCGAGUCAUCGCUGGGGAAGAGCUGUCAUUGCCUGAUCUUGAGGUCCACUCCUUACCUGGAUGGAGUCCGGAGCUCUCCUGUCAUCGCGAGGGUCCUCAGAGCUGCAGGACACGAUCCUGCUGAUGUGAUCUCAACACCUAUUGAAUGGAGUAUCUGGAAAACAGCAUGGUGUAAGGCAUAAGAAACUGGGAGUCUUAAACCAUAGAGUUCUAAAUCUGGCUGUGCCACUAACUUCUGAGGUGGCUUUCCGCAGGGAGUUAAGGGAGAAGAAGUAGUAGAGGUGCGCUAUUCUCCAGACACACAUGCCAUGGCCCCACUCCCAGAAUUCUAGUCCACCCUUGCUGCCCUACUUUCCUAAUAAACCUGCUUCUCUGUUCCAAAUGCAUGUGGAUCAGCAAAGUGAAAUCGCCAAGAUCUCUGACAGGCACUUCAAGGAAAACCACCCCAGGAGUAUGUAUGAAAGUUCACAGGGUAAGAAACACUUCUUGUUUUGACUAAACCAUGAAUUUUAUUGUAAAGCUUUGCAUUAAAAUGAUAGAGGAAGAAUAGUCUCAUGGUUAAGCAGUGGACUGGUAUUCAGGAUAUACAGGUUCCAUCUCCCAGGCUCUGCCAUAGACUUUCUACAUGAUCUUGGGCAAAUCACUUCAGUUGCCUCAUUUGUAAAAUAGUGACUAUCUGACAAGGAGGUAUUACUAUCUCAAAGGAGUGCUGGGAGGAUAGAUAAAUUAAUGAUGGUGAGUUGCUUAGAUACUAAUGAUGGGGGUCCACACUUAUGGAUAAUUGGGAUUUCUGAGCCUAAUGCUGGAGGAAGUCACCUUGCUAGAAAGUAAUGUUGUUAUUGACACAGGCAGUGCAUGUGAGAACCUUAUGGAAGAGAAUGUAAUAUAGUUUAGUGUCAACUUUAAUAUGUAAAAAAUCAAUUAUCUUUUUUAUGAUCAGCUGGACUCUGCUAACUCAUGCUUCUGUAACACAGGAAUUGGGUAAAAAUCGAGGUUUGAGGUUUUUGAAUUCUGUUAUUGAGCACAAAACCACCAGAAAAUCCCUACAAACCAGAUGUGUAUGAACAUAUUUACAGCAGUGCAGCAUUCGUCAAUUAUCCCAGGUCUGCUUCCUUUGCAUUUAUUUAUUGUAAUUGAAUCAGUGGUUUAAAACGCUUGAACUUCAUAUUCCAUUUAAAACUAACUCAGGACUCUUGCUGGCAAAUGGGAUGCCUCCUGGAAGAGAGUAUACCAAUAUGGGAGAGAGAGAGGAAAAAAAAUAAAAAAAAGGAACAAAAAGCUUUUAACUUGCGCUGUACAUGAUAAUGAUAGACUUCCUUCAAAGAGCACUGGGGCUUUCAAAAAUCACAGGAGUGCAAGAGGUCACUCAUAGAUAUUUGAAUUAUUAACACAUGUUUAACCAUUAAAGAAAGAUGUAUUGAUAGAAUAUCAAUGUGAUUAAUUAUUUAGUUACACAAAGUAAAGCAUUGAAGAGAAAUUAACUAUUCACCACGUCUUGGUGAAGCUGAGCCUUGAAGAAAUGCAUCAGAAAAGGGUUUGUUACUAUGAGGCUUGUUAAUAGCUUCCAGAGCAAAAAACCUUAAAGUACAAUGGAAGAUGUGUACAUGUUAUUUGUAUUUAUCUUGGAUACAACAUGGGCCUUCAUGAUUUGAUCUGCAAUAAGAUGAAAUGGAAAAAAUUAUGAAGAACCAACUUUGUGUUUGAAGGGAAACGUGACAGCUAUUUCACGUGUGGGGACCUAUUAAAAACAAAUCAUUUUUUAAAGCAAAUUUUGUACAGACACUUUAAAAAAAACCCAAAUCUAUCCAGUAAGACAUUUUGCACAUGGAGUUUUCCACAUCUGUACAAAGCACCUCCUAUGAGGUAGGGAGGUCUUACUAUUGCCAAUAUGGAUUCUGUGGGAAGGGGUAAAAGUCCCUUUGUUAAUAUGUUCUGGCAGGGGGGAAAAUGGUCUGCCACUGAAACUUGUAACUUAGGGUUUGUCAACUAUUACAAAGAAAAUCUUAGUGCCUUGCACACCCGUGUUUGAAUAAACUCAUGUCUGAAAUUCCUCAGAAGCGUUGACAUAAAUAUAUUAAAUUACACCAGGGUUUCCUGAGUCCCUGACUAACCAUCCAUAUAAUCCAACUGGAUUUUUUAAAACACAGUCCCCAUCUGUAGUAUAAAUAGCCUAACAUGCU